UACGUAGGGGGCGAGCGUUGUCCGGAUUCAUUGGGCGUAAAGAGCUCGUAGGCGGCUUGGCAAGUCGGGUGUGAAAACUUCAGGCUCAACCUGGAGCGGCCACUCGAUACUGCCAUGGCUUGAGUCCGGUAGGGGACCACGGAAUUCCUGGUGUAGCGGUGAAAUGCGCAGAUAUCAGGAGGAACACCGGUGGCGAAGGCGGGUCUCUGGGCCGUAACUGACGCUGAGGAGCGAAAGCGUGGGGAGCGAACAGG
rnacentral:rRNA from 1 species